CAAAGAGAAUUCUGAAUUUCUUUCUUCUCUUCGUUAAUUUUUAUUGAUUUUCCCGUUGUGGGAAGCUCUCCCUCCUUUUCUCCGCCAUAGCCAAACUUCCAACUCCAUCGUACGACACCAGUGAGCUUUAACGCAUUGAAGAUCGCCGUCUCCCAACGGAGGCGACGAAUAGAAGAAGAAGUUCGUCUUCCGGAAACGGAGUCCCCAGCGAACCGACGGCUGACGGAGACUGGCCAGCGGAGGCGACGGACUGCCACCGUCGACGGAAGCCAUGGAGACUGGCUACGUAGCUUCAGGUGAACGAUUCUCUCCUGAGGUUCUGGGCUUCAUGCAGCUUGCUAUAUAGAUCAGGCAACAAGACAUGCAGAGAUGGAAGCCCUUGAUAUUCUUCUUGAGCAGUGGCGGUGGACUGGAUUUUUACCUGCAGAAAUUGCAGAGAAAUUUUCAACAUGCGCCCUUUAUAUGAGCUCCAAAGCCUCACAGGCCAUGGGUUACUCAGGCUUCUUAUUAGAUCUACGUGCAUUGGUUCUUCCUGUUGAACCUCUCAUGGCUUUGCACGACUAGAAUUUCCUCAAGAAGCCCGAGAAGAGAAGCUUGAUUCUUGUCCAGAUCAGUUUUUGCCUGGUGGUCAUGUGUUCACUAAGAAUUGAAGUUACAGUCACAUGUUAAUUUCAUACUUUAACUUAAUUAUUAGACCAUUAAGAUAAUUAAUGGCAUGACCCUAUGUAGGCACCACUUUUCUGAUGCUAAUUUUUGUCAUCAACAUAUUCUGUAAUCCACUUGAUUUUUUUUUUUUUUUUUUGAGUUUUUAGAACUUUGAGUUAAUUCUAGGCAUACUAUUGAUGUGUUUGAGCACCAGAGUUCGGACUAUAUCUUGUGUGAUCCCAAAUGAUGAUAAAAGUGGUAUAUAAUUUGAAUGUCAUUUGCACGGAUUUCCUG